CGGGAGUAACGCGUGGAUAACCUGCCUCACACUGGGGGAUAACAGUUAGAAAUGACUGCUAAUACCGCAUAAGCGCACAGUACCGCAUGGUACAGUGUGAAAAACUCCGGUGGUGUGAGAUGGAUCCGCGUCUGAUUAGCCAGUUGGCGGGGUAACGGCCCACCAAAGCGACGAUCAGUAGCCGACCUGAGAGGGUGACCGGCCACAUUGGGACUGAGACACGGCCCAA
rnacentral:rRNA from 1 species